rnacentral:rRNA from 1 species
UACGUAGGUGGCAAGCGUUGUCCGGAAUUAUUGGGCGUAAAGCGCGCGCAGGCGGUCCUUUAAGUCUGAUGUGAAAGCCCACGGCUCAACCGUGGAGGGUCAUUGGAAACUGGGGGACUUGAGUGCAGGAGAGAAGAGUGGAAUUCCACGUGUAGCGGUGAAAUGCGUAGAGAUGUGGGGGAACACCAGUGGCGAAGGCGACUCUUUGGCCUGUAACUGACGCUGAGGCGCGAAAGCGUGGGGAGCAAACAGG